UACGAGGGGGGCGAGCGUUGUUCGGAAUUAUUGGGCGUAAAGGGCGUGCAGGCGGUUUGUUAAGUGCAGGGUGAAAGCUCCCGGCUCAACUGGGAGAGGUCCUUGCAUACUGGCGAACUCGAGGGAGGCAGAGGAAAGUGGAAUUCCCGGUGUAGUGGUGAUAUGCGUAGAUAUCGGGAGGAACACCUGUGGCGAAGGCGGCUUUCUGGGCCUUACCUGACGCUGAGACGCGAAAGCGUGGGGAGCGAACCGG
rnacentral:rRNA from 1 species